rnacentral:lncRNA from 1 species
GCCAACACUAGUAUUUUCUUGGCUAGGUUCCAGUUGGCCCUUACAAUUUGUCUGUAUCACAUCGAUACAAGUUCGCAUAGUACUUGCACUUGUCUCUUCCCUCCCCAUUUGUAGUUUUUACCUUGGUGACGUGAUCCAAAACAUCUGAACUUAAGAAAUUGCUUUCCUUUUCUUGUUUUCCUCGUCCUCUUGAUGUUUACCUCCAGUCUCCUCGUCAAGCUCUACCAUUUCAUUCACAUGAUUUGCAACGGUUCCAUCAGUGCCCCCCUAUCUAUAAAUAAAAACAUGAAAUACGCCAUCAUCCAAAAGAGGAUAGCUGAAGUCUGAACUUAAGAGUAGAAGACAUAUGUUGGUGCUGAGCCGCGCUACCGUGUGGUCCGUCGCCAUCUGAGCCCGAUGCGCCGCGCCGACACCGUCGUUUCACCUGACGCCAACGUCAUCGCUGCGACCGAUAUGGUGGAUAGGGUUAGGGCGUCGUGUGACGCUGGUGUGGGAUAGGAGUGUCGUGCGGGUGCGGUGUUGAUGCCCUUGUGGGUUGAGCCGGGCAAUUGGUUGCCUGCGGUGUGAGAUUUUCUCAUUCUAUUGGACAUGAGGUCUUUCAAAAUCUAAAAAAAAAGUUUUCAUAGCUCCCCCCCCAAUAACUAGUUUUAGGUUGAGAUUUUCUCCUACUUUUGGUGAUGCAGUUCCAAGCCAACACCGAACAAAAAUCCAAAGAACCGUCGGUUCGCCUCGGUUUUGGUUCAGUGUUCAGUCAGUUCAAAUGUGCCCAGCCCAUCUUUCAUAAAGAAUAUCGGAUCCUCAUUCAACUAGUGUUUCGAAUUUCACUCUUCAGUCGAUGCCGCCAGAUCUUUCAUACCCAAAGCCAAUCUUACUAUGCACCAGUUUAAAUGCCAGAUGG